rnacentral:rRNA from 1 species
CAGUCGCCGCGGUAAUACGUAGGUGGCAAGCGUUGUCCGGAAUUAUUGGGCGUAAAGGGCUCGCAGGCGGUUUCUUAAGUCUGAUGUGAAAGCCCCCGGCUCAACCGGGGAGGGUCAUUGGAAACUGGGAAACUUGAGUGCAGAAGAGGAGAGUGGAAUUCCACGUGUAGCGGUGAAAUGCGUAGAGAUGUGGAGGAACACCAGUGGCGAAGGCGACUCUCUGGUCUGUGACUGACGCUGAGGAGCGAAAGCGUGGGGAGCGAACAGGAUUAGAUACCCCGGUAGUCCCUGUCUCUUAUAC